AGAGUUUGAUCCUGGCUCAGACUGAACGCUGGCGGCAGGCCUAACACAUGCAAGUCGAACGGUAGCACAGGAGAGCUUGCUCUCUGGGUGACGAGUGGCGGACGGGUGAGUAAUGCAUGGGGAGCUGCCCAAUCGAGGGGGAUACCAGCUGGAAACGGCUGCUAAUACCGCAUACGCCCUGAGGGGGAAAGGUGGGGACCUUCGGGCCUACCGCGAUUGGAUGCACCCAUGUGGGAUUAGCUAGUUGGUGAGGUAACGGCUCACCAAGGCGACGAUCUCUAGCUGGUCUGAGAGGAUGACCAGCCACACUGGAACUGAGACACGGUCCAGACUCCUACGGGAGGCAGCAGUGGGGAAUAUUGCACAAUGGGGGAAACCCUGAUGCAGCUAUGCCGCGUGUGUGAAGAAGGCCUUCGGGUUGUAAAGCACUUUCAGUAGGGAGGAAGGGUUGAUGUCUAAUACGCAUCAACAUUGACGUUACCUACAGAAGAAGCACCGGCUAACUCCGUGCCAGCAGCCGCGGUAAUACGGAGGGUGCAAGCGUUAAUCGGAAUAACUGGGCGUAAAGCGCACGCAGGCGGUUAGAUAAGUCAGAUGUGAAAUCCCCGGGCUCAACCUGGGAACUGCAUUUGAAACUGUCUGACUAGAGUCUUGUA
rnacentral:rRNA from 1 species